rnacentral:rRNA from 1 species
UGCAUAUCAAUAAGCGGAGGAAAAGAAACCAACAGGGAUUACCUCAGUAACGGCGAGUGAAGCGGUAACAGCUCAAAUUUGAAAUCUGGCCGCAAGGUCCGAGUUGUAAUUUGUAGAGGAUGUUUCGAGCAUGGUCUGGCCUAAGUUCCUUGGAACAGGACGUCAUAGAGGGUGAGAAUCCCGUAUGCGGUCAGGUGCCUACGCUCAUGUGAAACUCCUUCGACGAGUCGAGUUGUUUGGGAAUGCAGCUCAAAAUGGGUGGUAAAUUUCAUCUAAAGCUAAAUAUUGGCCAGAGACCGAUAGCGCACAAGUAGAGUGAUCGAAAGAUGAAAAGCACUUUGGAAAGAGAGUUAAACAGUACGUGAAAUUGUUGAAAGGGAAGCGCUUGCAACCAGACUUGCGCGCGGCUGAUCAUCCGGGCUUCUGCCCGGUGCACUCGGUCGCGCUCAGGCCAGCAUCGGUUUUGGUGGCGGGAUAAAGGCCUUGGGAAUGUAGCUCCUCUCGGGGAGUGUUAUAGCCCAGGGUGCAAUGCCGCCUACCGGGACCGAGGACCGCGCUUCGGCUAGGAUGCUGGCGUAAUGGUUGUAAGCGACCCGUCUUGA